rnacentral:misc_RNA from 1 species
CACCAAUCUCUGAUUCAAGUUUAGCCACAUGUGACUCAACCCCAUGCCCAACACCAUUUAAAAAUUCUGGUAUCCCGACCUUCACAACAUAUGGGGUAGAUUUAGAAAAGAAUCUAGCAAAUAAAGGAGCUGAGUAUGGUUGCAGUAUAGACCUAUGGUUGGAGAUAAUCUGCCUCCAUGCCAUCUUUCUUGCUCAACGGCGAAUGAACGAGAGUUGAAGGGACUGCGGCAGAAGACAGUGCGUGGCGUGCCGGGGUUAGGUUGCAACAGAGAGGCGGUGGGGGCGUUCCGGCGAGCGGCAAAGGUGGGAGAGGGAGAGAGAAAAAUUAGGUGAUGGUAG